GAAAGUCAACUUUUUGGUCUGCACAGGGCUGCGUGAUUGAUAAAGGGUUUGCAGAGCUGGUUCCGCCGGGGAGGAGAACUCGCGUGCUCCGUGCAGAGGGGAUGCAUCCUGCGCAGCGUGGCUCGGGGGCGCCGUGGAGCCUCCCGAAGGCGAUCGUGGGAUUCAGAAACCUCUCCCGGGACUCCCAUGGGAGGAGGCUGACCCCGGGCCGGCACGCGAUCGCGGGAUGGGCUGGAGUUGUAGGAAGGCCCUAGGCCCGGGCCGCCAUCGGCGGGGCACUGGCUGCUUCUGUGUUGCAGGCGCCGCACGGGUUCGUCCGCUUACACAGAAUUGUAUUAAAUUGUCUUUUUAUUUCCCCACCCAGGAAAUGAACCACAUCCCCCAACGACUAGACGGAAGCACGCACAAGCUCCUUCCUCCCGAGGAGCGUUUCCAGUGACUUGAGCUUGGUUGGCCCAGGUAUGUCAAUCCUUGGGGGUGGGACGGUGACCUGAGGCCGACGGUCUGGGAAAAGGCUCCUGUGUGGCUGUACCCGCCCGAGGUGGGUGCAGCCCCGUACCAGACAGCCCGACCUUGACCUAAAGUAAAAUCCCAGAGGAGGAGGAACCUCUUCCCUGGGGUUAGAAUUUGCAGUAACAGGUGUGGACAUCCUAGCAGCAGUUUGGUGGUCAUGUAUGAUACUGCAAACAGGAGCCCUGCUGAAGCUGUGGGGACUUCAUUUGACUAGAAGCUUUGUCUGCGUGCACUGAGUGAGGAUCCGGCCCUACUGUGUGUAUCCCUACUGCGUGCUCCUGGACCUGUUGGGUUUGACUCUUGAUUUGCUGUUUUUGGGUAUUCACUGGCUGAGGACAGUGGCUGUGUUCAGUGGCUGUAAAUAAAUGGAGCUUGAACUCAC
rnacentral:lncRNA from 1 species